rnacentral:rRNA from 1 species
UACGAAGGGGGCUAGCGUUGCUCGGAAUCACUGGGCGUAAAGGGUGCGUAGGCGGGUAUUUAAGUCAGAGGUGAAAUCCUGGAGCUCAACUCCAGAACUGCCUUUGAUACUGAGUAUCUUGAGUACGGGAGAGGUGAGUGGAACUGCGAGUGUAGAGGUGAAAUUCGUAGAUAUUCGCAAGAACACCAGUGGCGAAGGCGGCUCACUGGCCCGUUACUGACGCUGAGGCACGAAAGCGUGGGAGCAAACAGG